UACAGAGGGUGCGAGCGUUGUCCGGAAUCACUGGGCGUAAAGGGCGCGUAGGCGGCCUGAUAAGUAGGGGGUGAAAUCCUGUGGCUUAACUGCAGGGCUGCCUCCUAGACUGUUAGGCUCGAGCACGGUAGAGGCAGAUGGAAUUCCCGGUGUAGCGGUGGAAUGCGUAGAGAGUCGGGAAGAACAUCGGUGGCGAAGGCGGUCUGCUGGGCCGUUGCUGACGCUGAGGCGCGACAGCGGUGGGGAGCGAACAGG
rnacentral:rRNA from 1 species